CUUGACCUCAAAUCAGGUAGGACCUG
rnacentral:rRNA from 1 species